rnacentral:rRNA from 1 species
UACCAGCACCCCGAGUGGUCGGGACGAUUAUUGGGCCUAAAGCAUCCGUAGCCGGUCUUGCAAGUCUUCCGUUAAAUCCAGCUGCUUAACAGAUGGGCUGCGGAGGAUACUAUAAGACUAGGAGGCAGGAGAGGCAAGCGGUACUCAGUGGGUAGGGGUAAAAUCCGUUGAUCCAUUGAAGACCACCAGUGGCGAAGGCGGCUUGCCAGAAUGCGCUCGACGGUGAGGGAUGAAAGCUGGGGGAGCAAACCGG